rnacentral:rRNA from 1 species
GACGAACGCUGGCGGCGUGCUUAACACAUGCAAGUCGAACGCUGAAGCUCAGCUUUUGUUGGGUGGAUGAGUGGCGAACGGGUGAGUAACACGUGAGUAACCUGCCUCCUUCUUUGGGAUAACGCCCGGAAACGGGUGCUAAUACUGGAUAUUCACUGGUCUUCGCAUGGGGGUUGGUGGAAAGGGUUUUUCUGGUGGGGGAUGGGCUCGCGGCCUAUCAGCUUGUUGGUGGGGUGAUGGCCUACCAAGGCUUUGACGGGUAGCCGGCCUGAGAGGGUGACCGGGCACAUUGGGACUGAGAUACGGCCCAGACUCCUACGGGAGGCAGCAGUGGGGAAUAUUGCACAAUGGGCGCAAGCCUGAUGCAGCGACGCCGCGUGAGGGAUGGAGGCCUUCGGGUUGUGAACCUCUUUCGCUAAUGGUCAAGCCGCAACAAUGGUUGUGGUGAGGGUAGUGGGUAAAGAAGCGCCGGCUAACUACGUG